CUGAGAUGGGCCCGCGUACCAUUAGCUAGUUGGUGGGGUAAUGGCCUACCAAGGCAACGAUGGUUAGCGGGUCUGAGAGGAUUACCCCCCACACUGGAACUGAGAUACGGUCCAGACUCCUACGGGGCAAUGGGCGAAAGCCUGACGGAGCAACGCCGCGUGAGCGAAGAAGGUCUUCGGAUUGUAAAGCUCUGUGAUAUUGGACGAACGAUUUCCUGUAAAUAAUAGGAAAGAAUGACGGUACAAUAGGAGGAAGCCACGGCUAACUACGUGCCAGCAGCCGCGGUAAUACGUAGGUGGCAAACGUUGUCCGGAAUUACUGGCCGUAAAGGCGAGUAGGUGGUUUGCUAAGUCAGAAGUGAAAACUCCAGGCUCAACUUGGAGACUGCUUUACGAAACUGGUAGACUUGAGUGCAAGAGAGGGAAGUGGAAUUCCUAGUGUAGCGGUGAAAUGCGUAGAUAUUAGGAGGAACACCGGUGGCGAAGGCGGCUUCCUGGACCGAUACUGACGCUGAGACGCGAAAGCGUGGGGGGCAAACAGGAUUAGACCCUGGUAGUCCACGCCGUAAACGAUGAGUGCUAGGUGUCGGGGGUAUCGACCCCCUCGGUGCCACAGCUAACGCAAUAAGCACUCCGCCUGGGGAGUACGGUCGCAAGACUGAAACUCAAAGGAAUUGACGCGGGCAAGCGGUGGAGUAUGUGGUUUAAUUCGACGCAACGCGAAGAACCUUACCAAGGCUUGACAUCCCGUGACAGCUAUAGAAAUAUAGUCUUCUUAGUUUACUAAGACACAGAGACAGGUGGUGCAUGGUUGUCGUCAGCUCGUGUCGUGAGAUGUUGGGUUAAGUCCCGCAACGAGCGCAACCCCUACAGCUAGUUGCCAGCACAUAAAGGUGGGAACUCUAGCAGAACUGCCGUUGACAAAACGGAGGAAGGUGGGGAUGACGUCAAAUCAUCAUGCCCCUUAUGUCUUGGGCUACACACGUACUACAAUGGCCUGAACAGAGGGAAGCAAAACUGCGAAGUUAAGCGAAUCCCUUAAAACAGGUCCCAGUUCGGAUCGUGGGCUGCAACCCGCCCACGUGAAGUUGGAAUCGCUAGUAAUCGCAAGUCAGCAUACUGCGGUGAAUACGUUCCCGGGCCUUGUACACAUCGCCCGUCACACCAUGGGAGUUGGGAGCGCCCGAAGCCGGUGAGCUAACCGCAAGGAGGCAGCCGUCGAAGGCGAGAUCAAUGACUGGGGUGAAGUCGUAACAAGGUAACC
rnacentral:rRNA from 1 species